rnacentral:lncRNA from 1 species
CUUUCAUGUAGCUUUCAUUAGUCAAUGUUACCAUCUCUUGCAUUACAGGGAUAUUGUAAGAUUUUGUCUUUCAUGUAGCUUUCAUGGGUCAAUUUAACCGCCCUAACAUUACAGGGAUAUUGUAAGAUUUUGUCUUUCAUAUAGCUUUCAUUAGUUAAUGUUACCAUCCCUCACAUUACAGGGAUAUUGUAAGAUUUGGUCAUUCAUGUAGCUUUCAUUAGUCAAUGUUACCAUCCCUCACAUUACAGGGAUAUUGUAAGAUUUUGUCUUUCAUGUAGCUUUCAUUAGUCAAUGUUACCAUCCCUCACAUUACAGGGAUAUUGUAAGAGAUUGUCUUUCAUGUAGCUUUCAUUAGUCAUUGUAAACUACCCCUCCUUACGUUUACAGAGGUAUAAUACUGUAUAGUGGGUUAUGUUUGCUUGCAGAGUGUUUAUUUCUUGCUUAAUUUGGUAGAUAAAUGAAAUAGAAAACAAUUAUGCACAAGUUUUGAUACUUUCUAAUAGCUAAAGCAUUUUGUAUACAAUAUUUUUCUUAAAGGCCAGAAGGGCAUUGUACAUACAUGCAUUUUAUAAAAUUGACUGUAAGGUGUGUAGACCCUUGCCAUCCAGUGUUAGGUACACUAUCAGGCAAUUACCCUUAUCAAUAGGGGUCAAAUAACAUAAGAUUUGUAGGUCAUUCUUGAUAAUUCUA